GAUGAACGCUGGCGGCGUGCCUAAUACAUGCAAGUAGAACGCUGAAGGAAGGAGCUUGCUCUUUCCGGAUGAGUUGCGAACGGGUGAGUAACGCGUAGGUAACCUGCCUGGUAGCGGGGGAUAACUAUUGGAAACGAUAGCUAAUACCGCAUAACAGUAGAUGUUGCAUGAUAUCUACUUAAAAGGUGCAAUUGCACCACUACCAGAUGGACCUGCGUUGUAUUAGCUAGUUGGUGAGGUAACGGCUCACCAAGGCGACGAUACAUAGCCGACCUGAGAGGGUGAUCGGCCCCACUGGGACUGAGACACGGCCCAGACUCCUACGGGAGGCAGCAGUAGGGAAUCUUCGGAAAUGGACGGAAGUCUGACCGAGCAACGCCGCGUGAGUGAAGAAGGUCUUCGGAUCGUAAAGCUCUGUUGUAAGAGAAGAACGAGUGUGAGAGUGGAAAGUUCACACUGUGACGGUAUCUGACCAGAAAGGGCCGGCUAACUACGUG
rnacentral:rRNA from 1 species